rnacentral:lncRNA from 1 species
AGGUUGGGAGAGGUUGGUGAGGUGUGGGGAUGGCUUUUGCGGUGACGCCUAAGAUAAUACCGGCUAGAUUCGAAAGGGGGAAUUAUGGAGGAGGGGAUCGGCUAAGGCUGAAGCAAGUGAAGUGUGGUAUUGACGGAGGUGUGUCGAAUUCCAACUACGUGGUGCCGCUGGACAAUUUCUCCAACUCAUCCUGCAUAACACGUCCUUUAGCCGAGAUACUCAGAGACCUCAAUAAGAGAAUCCCCGAUACUAUCGUCAACUGGGACAAUAUCACCCAGUGAUGGGCUCCAUUGGCGAUCCAGUUUCAGCUGCUGAGGAAAUUGCUUUCUGCAAAACUUGUGCCCGGUUUGGUCUUAGCUUGUAUUUGUAUCAUGAAGAUGAAAUGACCAGUUUUUAAGCUUCUAAAUUUUUGUUUUGGUUGGAUGUGAAUAGAGGUGGCUGUUAGGUACUUCUAUAAAGCACUGUCAAGUAUUGUGGAAAACUUGAAGCCAUGUCUUCUUUUUAUGAGGAUCCGAUGCUUAUGUGUAUUCAGGUUUCUUUUAUUGCUCAGGUACAUUUAUGGCUUUAAGUUUUGUAAGUUAUGGUGGCCUAAAGCCUUCCAUUAAUAAAUGAACCAUUAUUAUUAUUAUUAACGCAAU